CUCUAACACCACUGUUUAUUUUUAAAACUUUCCUCUUGAUGGGCCUAAAUAGAAGGGAGAGAUAUAAAAAUAUUUUUCUUAUAUUAUCAGUUUUUAUUCUUUGCAAGCUUGAAAAUCACUGCACUUAACCUGAAUCUAGAUAGUUUAUGUUGGACUGAAAUGGUAAGUAAAAUAAAAUACUGGAAACAAAACUUCUAAAAGGUUUCCAAACAUUUUAAACCUUUAUUUUCUCUUUCCUGUUUUGAGGCAUUUUCACAAACUGUGACUUGAGUUGGAUUGUUUCUCUCUGUGGAUUCAAAACUGCCAUAAAGUGAAAUUUAUUUAUGGAUCUCCAAUUUCACAUUUUUGAAUCUACAGUAAACAACAAAAGAAAAGAUAUAAAGUUGAACAUUGAAGUGUAUGGCAUCAGCUUCUACUUGUAAUUUAUUACUUCUGCAAAGCCUAAACAUGUAGUUGCUUCUCAAAAUUCAUUGAAUUUUUGAAAUUAAUGGUGAAAAUUGUUGAAAGAUUAUACUUAGCUUUUGAUUUAUUCCUGAUAAUUCAUAAUUUACUGAUGGAAAAAAAAGAGAAUUUCAUUUUAAGGAGUGGAAAAACUAUAUACAUCUAUGUAUUAUACAUAUGUAUUUUAUAUGUGUAUAUAUGUACAUAUACACAUACAUAUCAUAUGUAUACACAUAUGCAUAUGGUGUAAAUAACAUAAGUAGAGUCUUUAGAGUGUAGACUAUAUAUGCUCCAUAGGAAUAUUAUCUUUAUAUGUAUAUACAUGAAUAAAAUAUACAAGUAUUUUAUAAAACAUAUAUCUUUAUAUAUUAUACUAUAUAGAUAUAAUAUUAUAUAUAUAUAAUCUUAAUAUAUAUUUUCACAUAAACAAAUAACUCUUCUCAACAUGUUAGAAAGUAAUUUUGCAUAUAAACAUUUUACUUUCAAAAUCAUAAAAUUACUGGAUAAUUGAUAAAAGUCAUAAUCCUGGUGUUCCUCUUAAUUCUGAAAAAGGUUCAGUUAUUUUAAAGUUGAGAAGUUUCUCAAGCAUAUUCAGGUAUAAUCAACAUAAAUCACUCUCAGAUUUUAUGUUACCUCAGACAAAAGUUGUAACAAUUAUCAAUAUUGCCAGAAAAGCCUUAAAUAUUACUUUAUAUUUCGAAUUAAACAAGAUUUGAAUACAUUAUUAAUAAAUAUAUGAAUUAAGAGAUGUAAUAACUAAGAUGAUAAGAGGCAAUAUAUCAGUUUGCUGUGAUUAGGUAUUUUGAAAUUGAAUAAAAACAUCUCUAAAAAUUUCAAGUUCUUGGGAAUAAUGAUUUAUAAGUUUUACUAAAUGAUGUGUAAAUAAUUUUGUGAAUAAUUAUUAUAACUUUAAAUGAAAUCUGUAAC
rnacentral:lncRNA from 1 species